rnacentral:rRNA from 1 species
GACGAACGCUGGCGGCGUGCUUAACACAUGCAAGUCGAGCGGAAAGGCCCUUCGGGGUCCUCGAGCGGCGAACGGGUGAGUAACACGUGAGUAAUCUGCCCUUGGCUUUGGGAUAACUACCGGAAACGGUGGCUAAUACCGGAUACGACAACCGUCUGCAUGGGCUGGUUGUGGAAAGUUUUUUCGGCCAGGGAUGUGCUCGCGGCCUAUCAGCUUGUUGGUGGGGUAAUGGCCUACCAAGGCUUCGACGGGUAGCCGGCCUGAGAGGGUGACCGGCCACACUGGGACUGAGACACGGCCCAGACUCCUACUGGAGGCAGCAGUGGGAAAUAUUGGACAAUGGGCGGAAGCCUGAUCCAGCAACGCCGCGGGAGGGAGGACGGCCUUCGGGUUGUAAACCUCUUUCAGUACCGACGAAGCGCCGAUGAUGGUGGUGACGGUAGGUACAGAAGAAGCACCGGCAAACUACGU